AGUGAACGCUGGCGGUAGGCCUAACACAUGCAAGUCGAACGGCAGCACAGUAAGAGCUUGCUCUUACGGGUGGCGAGUGGCGGACGGGUGAGGAAUACAUCGGAAUCUACUUUUUCGUGGGGGAUAACGUAGGGAAACUUACGCUAAUACCGCAUACGACCUACGGGUGAAAGCAGGGGAUCUUCGGACCUUGCGCGAUUGAAUGAGCCGAUGUCGGAUUAGCUAGUUGGCGGGGUAAAGGCCCACCAAGGCGACGAUCCGUAGCUGGUCUGAGAGGAUGAUCAGCCACACUGGAACUGAGACACGGUCCAGACUCCUACGGGAGGCAGCAGUGGGGAAUAUUGGACAAUGGGCGCAAGCCUGAUCCAGCCAUACCGCGUGGGUGAAGAAGGCCUUCGGGUUGUAAAGCCCUUUUGUUGGUAAAGAAAAGCAGCAGGUUAAUACCCCGCUGUUCUGACGGUACCCACAGAAUAAGCACCGGCUAACUUCGUG
rnacentral:rRNA from 1 species